rnacentral:lncRNA from 1 species
UACUGCCUGCCUUUUGCUUGGAGCAGGUAGAGAGUUCACCAUCUUCUAGUUACCCAACGGGCACAGCCUGAGAUCAGCUGGCUCCCCUUCCCCCACUGUCUGAGAAGUGCUGCUCUGGGCUACAGUCCUCUUGGCUUCAUCCUCGGUGCUGGGCAAGUGGACCACUUGUAUCCCCACCACUCUGAGCCACGCUGGGCCUUGGAUGUGAAGCAAUCCGUUCUGAGCCUUGUGCAGAGCUGUCCAUGAGUCCAUGAGUCCAAGGCCCUUGAGGAGAUACAGACUUCAAAGACUUGAGUCCCAGCAGCCUGAAUGGGAGGAGACACUGUCCCCAGUUACAGUGACCCCGGCAACUGCAUUGGUGAGGAGGCCAUGUGUGGCUCAGCCUGCCAGCUUUGAGUGCUCUCCUGCAGGUCUUGGCUCAGAUGGGCACAGCUGGGACCCUGGGACAGGCUGAGCUGAGAUGGUUGACCCGUGUCCAUGGCACCACUAGCCUAGAUGGCAGUAUCCAAGCUAGAAAGAGUCAGGACCUUAAAGUGCAUCUGAAUGCCCCAGAGGAUUUGGUGGAGCUACUCAGCUUCAGCUCCAGGCUGUAUAUUGUCACUGGGGACAGUAUGAAGAACUUAAGUGAUAGUCACAACCUCUCUAAAUCCUGGUCCUGUACCAGUGAGGAAGUUCAGAGCCCAGGAAGUCCUUGAGCUUGUUCCCUGAAAGGACAGAAAGUCCUGUUCCAGAAGAGGAGCAGUGGUCCCUUCUCAGGAACCCUGCUGUGUUUGCAGAAGAGCUGGCUCCCUGAAGAAGACACAGCCCACCUCUUCAUGGGUACAUCCAAGUCAGAAGUGGCCAGGGAUUUUGGGAUGGACAUCAGCUACAGUGUGCCCCAGGGGAAGUGCUGGUUCCAGCUGCUGCACCCCAAAAAGAAAA